rnacentral:lncRNA from 1 species
AUAUGAUGCUAAUGCUUGUGAAUUAUGUGCUGUUUUUCAGAAACAGAAUGAGAGGAACUCGUCGAUCUGCACGAUUGACAGGAGUCCCACCAGAGGAUGAGGGCACAAGCGCCCGUCCUCCCACAUUGCCUAGGGCAAUGUCAUGCAGAACAAACAGAGAAAGAGUAUCAAGGGACCCUAGAAGGUCUUUUGAUACUAGCAGAAGGGGGACAGAAAGAGGAGGAAGUU